rnacentral:tRNA from 1 species
GUCCAGGAAUGGGAAUCGAACCCACAGUGUUCCGCUUACCGGACAGAUGCCAUGUCCACUAGGCUACCCUGGA